AUUGAACGCUGGCGGCAUGCUUUACACAUGCAAGUCGAACGGCAGCGCGGGCUUCGGCCUGGCGGCGAGUGGCGAACGGGUGAGUAAUACAUCGGAACGUGCCCAGUAGUGGGGGAUAGCUCGGCGAAAGCCGGAUUAAUACCGCAUACGACCUGAGGGUGAAAGCGGGGGAUCUUCGGACCUCGCGCUAUUGGAGCGGCCGAUGGCAGAUUAGCUAGUUGGUGGGGUAAAGGCCUACCAAGGCGACGAUGUGUAGCUGGUCUGAGAGGACGACCAGCCACACUGGGACUGAGACACGGCCCAGACUCCUACGGGAGGCAGCAGUGGGGAAUUUUGGACAAUGGGCGAAAGCCUGAUCCAGCAAUGCCGCGUGUGUGAUGAAGGCCUUCGGGUUGUAAAGCACUUUUGGCGGGAACGAAAAGGACUGUGCCAAUACCACGGUUCGAUGACGGUACCCGCAGAAUAAGCACCGGCUAACUACGUG
rnacentral:rRNA from 1 species